rnacentral:rRNA from 1 species
CAGUAGCCGCGGGAAUACGUAGGUGGCAAGCGUUGUCCGGAAUUAUUGGGCGUAAAGGGCUCGCAGGCGGUUUCUUAAGUCUGAUGUGAAAGCCCCCGGCUCAACCGGGGAGGGUCAUUGGAAACUGGGAAACUUGAGUGCAGAAGAGGAGAGUGGAAUUCCACGUGUAGCGGUGAAAUGCGUAGAGAUAUGGAGGAACACCAGUGGCGAAGGCGACUCUCUGGUCUGUAACUGACGCUGAGGAGCGAAAGCAUGGGGAGCGAACAGGAUUAGAUACCCGAGUAGUCCCUGUCUCUUAUAC